UUUAUUCACAUGAAGCUACAGAGGGUUCUGCACUGUUAGUGGGGUUAGGAACCAGCCCAUCAACGUCAGUCAGCCCUCUGAGGAUGGGUGUAUGGAUGGAGGCGUCCGUUCUUCACUGUGGCUGGUCUACAGUGGACGCGCUGUAAGGCAUCUGCUCAGGAGGAAAGGGCUCUGAUCAGUAUUACGUUCAUUAAGAUAAUUAGAAAAAUGAAGUAACUGGCAGAGAAAGAGGAAUGCAGAAAUUUAUUACUUAUAUAUGGAAUCUAAAAAAUAGACCCAACAGGAAAAAGACGGAAUGAAUGACGGCAGGUGCUUAGAAAGACAGACUUCAUGAAAUACCACUGCCUUGGAAAGCUGUGUGGAGCGGAAGCAUCUGGUUUAGAAAAAGGAACAACUCCUCUGCAUCUUAGAAAUAUGCGGACCAAUACAUAUUCUAGCAGCAAAAUUGAUUUACACAUAGAAGCUUCUGCUGUCCACUGAGAGCUCCUUCUCCAGAAUGACUCAUCCCUGUUGUCUUUCGAGCAGAAGCCCAUUAUGUUCAGUUUUAGCAAACCUGUGGAGGCCUUGAGCGCCGUCUCCAUUUCCCUUUUCAAGGUGCCCAUGCUGCACCUGUGUGCGUGUUUGAAGGGAGAUCAUCCUGUCAGAAAAGAAGGAUCGGCCGUGGUUCCGUGUCUGUGUCGUGACUCAAUCACCAGCUGAACGACACGCGGCCCUGUGGUAGACGUCUGGACGCUGAGUGAGGGGGAUAUUCUGGGCGGAGAGUGGGGAGCCCUGA